GUGGAGCAAUCCAUGAGUACAGUGGCGUACGGGUGAGUAACACGUGGAUCAUCUACCUCUUGAUGGGGAAUAACCCUGGGAAACCGGGGCUAAUACCGCAUAAGCCUGAAAAGGGAAAGCAGCAAUGCGUCGAGAGAGGAGUCCGCGGCCGAUUAGCUAGUUGGUAGGGUAAAGGCCUACCAAGGCAAUGAUCGGUAGCCGGCCUGAGAGGGCACACGGCCACACUGGCACUGAAACACGGGCCAGACUCCUACGGGAGGCAGCAGUGGGGAAUCUUGCACAAUGGAGGAAACUCUGAUGCAGCGACGCCGCGUGAGUGAUGAAGCCCUUCGGGGUGUAAAGCUCUUUCGGCAGGAACGAUAAUGACGGUACCUGCAGAAGAAGCUGCGGCUAACUACGUGCCAGCAGCCGCGGUAAUACGUAGGCAGCAAGCGUUGUUCGGAAUUACUGGGCGUAAAGAGUGUGUAGGCGGUUCUCUAAGUUCCGUGUGAAAUCUCCCGGCUCAACUGGGAGGGUGCGCGGGAAACUGGAGGGCUCGAGUAUGGGAGAGGAAAGCGGAAUUCCUGGUGUAGCGGUGAAAUGCGUAGAUAUCAGGAGGAACACCUGCGGUGUAGACAGCUUUCUGGACCAUCACUGACGCUGAGACACGAAAGCGUGGGUAGCAAACAGGAUUAGAUA
rnacentral:rRNA from 1 species